UAAUUUGAGAGUUUGAUCCUGACUCCGAAUGAACGCUAGGUGUAUGCUUAACACAUGCGAGUCGAAUGUAACUAAUUUUAUUUUAAUUACAUGGCAUACGGGUGAGUAACACGUGAGAAUUUGCCUAAUAACCUGGAAUAAACUAUAUCGCAAGAGAAUUCAUAAUAUAUUUAUGAUAUAUUAUGAAGUAGUAAUACCAGAUAAAAAUUAAAGAUUAAAUCGUUAUUAGAUAAGCUUGCGUAGGAUUAGGUAGUUGGUUAAGUAAAAGCUAACCAAGCCUAAGAUCCUUAGUUGGUCUUAGCGGAUGACCAGCCACACUGGGACUGAGAUACGGCCCAGACUCCAUUAGGAGGCAGCAGUGAGGAAUAUUGGACAAUGAGCGAAAGCUUGAUCCAGCAAUACACCGUGAGUGAUGACAGCUUUUAGGUUGUAAAGCUCUUUCAUCAAGGAAGAUAGUGACAUUACUUGAAGAAGAAGCCCCGGCAAAUUUCGUGCCAGCAGCCGCGGUAAUACGAAAGGGGCAAGUGUUAUUCGAAAUUAUUGGGCGUAAAGGGUAACUAGGCUAUUUAUUAAAUUAUUUGUUAAAGACCUUAACUCAAUUAAGGUAAAGCAUAUAAGACUAAUAAAAUUGAAUAAGGUAAAAAAUAGUGGAAUUUCUAAUGGAGGAUUAAGCCCUGUAGAUAUUAGAAGGAACAUCAAAAGCGAAGGCAACUAUUUUGGCCUUUAUUGACGCUGAAUUACUAAGGCGUAGGUAGCGAAUAGGAUUAGAUACCCUAGUAGUCUACGCAGUCAACGAUGAAUGUUAAAUUUUAAUAAAUAUUUUUGGGUAGUAAAAAUAUAUUUAGAAACUUAAAUUUUUAUUUAUUAGAGUUACAGCUAACGCGUUAAACAUUCCGCCUGGGGAGUACGGCCGCAAGGUUAAAACUUAAAGGAAUUGACGGGGACCCAUACAAGCGGUGGAGCAUGUGGUUUAAUUCGACACAACGCGCAAAACCUUACCAGCCCUUGUAUAUUGAGAGGUAAUUUUUUAAUAGAAGGAGCCGGUAAAAACUCAAUACAGGUGUUGCAUGGCUGUCGUCAGCUCGUGUCGUGAGAUGUCAGGUUAGGUCCAUAAACGAGCGCAACCCUUAUUUUUAGUUACUUUUCAAAGAACUCUAAAAAAACUGCCUAUGACAAAUAGGAGGAAGGUGAGGAUGACGUCAAGUCAGUAUGGCCCUUAUGGGCUGGGCUACACAUGUGCUACAAUGGCAAUCACAAAGGGAAGCAAAAGCGUAAGCUUUAGCAAAUCCUAAAAAAUUGUCUAGGUUCGGAUUGUUCUCUGUAACUCGAGAAUAUGAAGUUGGAAUCGCUAGUAAUCGUGGAUCAGCACGCCACGGUGAACUCGUCUCUGGGUCUUGUACAUACCGCCCGUCAAGGUCGGGAAAUUGGUUUUAUUAGAAAUAAUUUUAUUAAUUACAAUCUUUGUAGAUAUAAGUUGUAUUAUAUAUAUAAUUAUCUAUCAAACUUGUAGAAAAAAGUUAUUACAAUAGAAUUGUUAACUUGACUUAAGUCGUAACAAGGUAACGGUAGGGGAACCUGCUGUUGGAUAACUUCCUUU
rnacentral:rRNA from 1 species